CAGCAGCCGCGGGAAUACGAAGGGGGCUAGCGUUGUUCGGAUUUACUGGGCGUAAAGGGCGCGUAGGCGGACUGAUAAGUCAGGGGUGAAAUCCCAAGGCUCAACCUUGGAACUGCCUUUGAUACUGUUUGUCUUGAGUUCGAGAGAGGUAAGUGGAACUGCGAGUGUAGAGGUGAAAUUCGUAGAUAUUCGCAAGAACACCAGUGGCGAAGGCGGCUUACUGGCUCGAUACUGACGCUGAGGCGCGAAAGCGUGGGGAGCAAACAGGAUCAGAUACCCCAGUAGUCCCUGUCUCUUAUAC
rnacentral:rRNA from 1 species